UCCCUCAAGUUCACUCUAUUGACGGUGCAUAAGUUCCAAUGCUACCUGAGGCUCUAUUACAGUCUUCUAAAAAACCACACUAUUCCUACAUUUCCAAAUGCGCCACAAUCCACACACCACCCACCUCAUAAGCUUAUUUGCCUCCAGCUCAACACUAUACUUUCUAUUUAUCCAUUUCCAACAUUCUAAGAAAUCCCCACCCUCCACCGAAUCCACGUCCAACUGUAAUGAAGAUCCAAACCAAAAAAUUCUAGCAAAAGAACAUUUGAAGAAUAGAUGUACCUGUGUCUCCACAUCCUCUCCACAAAGCGGAGAACAAGUCUCCAAUCGAACUCCCCGGCGUGGUAGGUUAGAACGAACCACCAAAAUAUUUGUACAACCUUUCCAAAUGAAAUAUCAAAGCUUUGGGGGAACCUACAAUUGCCACACAUCCAACCAAAUAGGAUCCUUAAUGUGACCCUCACUCGAUUGACCCGUUCCCUUACGACCCAAUUCACCAUUUCUAUCCAUCUCUUGGGCCACCUUAUAACCCGAUUUUACUGAAUACAUUCCGUUCUGUGAUAAUGCCAUAUAAGUCGGUCCCGGUACCCAAACGUACUAAUUGGCAAUCUAAGAAUAACCCAGGCUUCCUCACUAUUGAAACACCCUUUAACCACAUCCCUCUUCCAAUGCCCAUCAAGAGUAAUCAGCUUCGCAACCAUCUGUGGCAUCUCUGUAACCUGUGAAGUAGAUAGAAAUGUGUGUGGAAUAGGUAACCAUAGGUCAUUCUGAAUUCGUAUAAUUCGUCUGUCUCCAACCCGCCAUCGCAAGGCUCAUUUUAGAAUUCUCCGACCCUGCAAAAUACCCUUCCACCCCCAAGAAGUUCCUCUUCCCACCGGUGCAUCCAAGAAAGUGGAGAGAGGGUAAUAUUUUGCUCUAAGAAUCUUAGUCAACAUAGAAUCCAGAUUACAGAUAAUCCGCCACCCAACCUUUGCAAGCAUGGCUAAAUUAAAAGAAAUAAUUUCUUUGAACCCAAGGCCACCCGCAACCUUACCUUUCACCAAUUUACUCCAAACCAUCCAGUGAACCCCCUUAUGAGUUUUUGGUCCCUCCACCAAAAUCAUGCUAUUACUUGCUCAAUUUCCUUAGCCAGCUGAAUAGGUAGUUGAAAACACAACAUAGUAUAAUUAGGCAAAGUAGUCACAACACUUUUAAGAAGAACCUCUUUCCCAGUAACUGAUAAAAAUUGCUCCGCCCACCUGUUAUUUCUCUCCUCCAGUCUAUUCCGUAUGUCCUCGAACACCUUCUUCUUAGAGCCUCCAAAAUUCGCCUGGAUACCCAAAUACUUACCAAAAUCCUCCUGGUAUUUUAUCCCUAACUCUUCUGACAACCAGAUCCUCAAAGAUGGAGAACAACUCGAACUAAAGAAAGCUGAGCUCUUUUCCAAAUUCACUACUUGCCGGGACCCAUGAGCUUAAUUUUGGAGUACCCCAUUAACAUUAACCGCCUCCGUUUCCUUAGCUUGACAAAAUAGGACCGAGUCAUCCUGAAAAAAUACAUGAGAGAGAGACUCGGCUGUGGGACUAACAGUCAUUCCCCUAAGUCGCCCCACCCAUUCUUCAUUAUGGAGUAAUGCAGAAAGCCCCUCAGCACAAACUAAAAACAAAAACGGCGAUAGAGGAUUGCCUUACCGAAGCCCUCAGUGUGGAAUGAUAUUCCCAAUUGCUUCCCCAUUUACCACCACACCAUAAGAAACCGUUUGAACACACUUCAUCACCCACUAACAAAACAUCUCAUCAAAUCCCAAUUUAUGCAACAUAGUAUUCAAGAAAGGCCAUCCAACCCGAUCAUAGGCUUUUGCCAUAUCCAGUUUCAAUGCCAUGAAAUUAAUCCCCUCCUCAUUCCCAUGCUUCAUAGAAUGAAGCAAAUCAUAAACCAAUAGAAUAUUGUCCAAAAUUUGUCUUCCUGCCACAAACGCUGAUUGAUUCAGACUAGUCACCUUAGAGAUGACUUUCUUUAAUCGAUUCAUCAACACUUUUGAAAUGAUCUUAUGCACCACAUUACAUAAGGAUAUUGGUUGAAAUUGGGACCUUUUCCUUGGUUUGUCAACCUUUGGAAUAAACACAAUAUUUGUAUGAUUUAACUCCUUAAGCAUUCGUCUAGUCUGGAAGAAAGUUUAGACCAUUCCAAGGACCACACCACCCACUGUUGUCCAAUGAUGUUGAUAGAAACCGGCAUUAAAUCCAUUACGACCAGGAGAUUUAGUUGGACGCAUUUGAUAAAUAGCCUGCUCAAUCUCAACAUCUAUCAUCGAAGCCACUAAAACAUUAUUGUCCACCCUUCCAACUGUACUCCGCACACAACUUAAAAUUUCCGUAAAAUGAUACUCGAACGCUCCGUAUACCAUAAUCCAUCAUCCCCUUCUAACCCUCGGAUAGAAUUUCGCCGCCUCCGUUUCAUCGUCUGAGCAUGAAAUAAUAUCGUAUUCUUAUCACCUUCCUUCAACCAUUGCACUCUUGACUUUGUGCGCCAAUAGAUUUCUUCAUUUUUGAUUGCCUGUUUAAGCUCCGUUUCCAAAUCUUGAAUUUGUACCCCAUCGAAAACCGGUUGCUGAUAAGCAAUUCGAAUCUCAUCCUUCAAUCGACAAAUUACUUUUUGUUCAUUUUGCCCAGACUUUUUACACCAUUGUAAUAAACCAUGUUUGACCUCCCGUAAAUUUGACACCAAAAUAUAAGCAUGAGACCCCCCGUGAGCGGCCCACUUCUGCCGUACCACUUCCCACAUCCCUCAUCCUGAUUCCAUCGUGGAUCAUACAUAAACUACCUCUUCCUAUAAGGUUGAGGCACCUCAGUGGAGAGAAGAAGCAUCGCAUAGUCCGACCCUUCCAACACCACAUGCCUAACAACGACAUUUGGAUAAAAAUUCACCCAAUCAUUUGUAGCUAGCCCCCGAUCAAUUCUUUCCUGAAUAAACCCUUCAUCCCGUCGAUUACGCCAUCUGUAUGGGUAACCUUCAAAACCCAAAUCCAACAGACGGGAAUUAGUAACAAAGUUUCGGAACGAUCUCAUACUUCCCGCCGUCCGCAUGUUUCCUCCUUCCUUUUUAGAGUCCAAUAAAAUAUCAUUAAAAUCCCCCAUGAAAAGGCAUGGUUCUGUAUAAUUUGCUAAACGGUCAUAUAAGAUAGCCAAUUGUUGAGCCAUUUUUUUCAUCAUCCAUACUAGCAUAAAUAACCAUAAGCCGCCACUUAUUAUGGCCAAGCACAUCAUCAAUCAAAAUUUCAAUAAAAAACUCUCCAUAUUUAAUCAAUAUAACAUCUUUUGCAUCCUUCCAGAAUACACACAUACCACCCACAAUCUCAAUAGCAUGCAUACACGCCAUACCAAGCCUAUGCUUUAAAUACCAAUAUCUUCUAUUAUAUUUUUAACUUCACCUAUAAGGACGGGUCCACUUGUUUUACAGCAAGACUAAAGGCUAGUUUGGGGUUGCUUAACACUAUUUUUGGAUGAAGAUAUUUAAAAUUACUAAUGAAUUUUAAAAUGAUAGAAAUUGAAAUGAUGGAAUUUUGUUUUAUAGAAUUUGUGAAUUUUCUUAUUUGUUAAACGUAAAAGAACAAUAGAAUUGAAUACGAAAUUGUUAGUUUUAAACUCUCAAUCAUAGAAAUUGGAAAAUGACACUUAUUUACAUAGAAUUUAAACUUGAAAUUGGAGGUCCCAAAUUCCAAUUUUUGUUUUCCAUGCGGAAAUUCUAAAUUCUAUGUAUAUGAAUCCAAACAGGAGAAUUGGUACAUGUCAAUUCAUAAAUUCCGAUUUUUACCCAAAUUCCAAGUUUAUUUUCUUCAUCCAAAUAUAGUGUAGAUUUUUUUAAGAGCAACUUCUCUAAAAAGUUGGAAUCUUAGUUGUGUUUGGUAAAUGAAGUAAAAAUGUGUUUUUAAAUCAUGGGUCCAAAAUAGCAAAAAGUAGAAAUAGCUAUACAUAUGCUUCUAAACAAAUGCUUUCUUCAUUGGAGGCAGGUGAAUAAUAAUACCAAUUAAUGAAACUUUCAUAUUGACAAUUCUACCCCAUAAUUUUUCUUUUGCUAAAAGCACUUUUAGCAUUUAGUAUAGAUAAAUAUCUUUUGUUAAAAAAAGAAAACACUUUUAGUACUAUAGUUUACCAAACACUUAGGCAAUCUCCAACCAAAAUGGCUAAACAUAACCAAUACUAGAUUUAAUUUAGUGUUCAUUCAUUGCUUAUACAUAUCAAUUAAAGAGUCGAAAAUGUGAUUAUUUUUUUAGUCCCAUAUUGACAAAGUUAGUAAAUAGAAAAAACACCUCACAAGUUAUAUAAAAACACUUUUAAAGUUUAGAUAGAAGGAACCAAAACUCAUCAUCAGAAGAGGGGUAUCCGAGGGGUAUCCUUCGAAGACAGAAUUGAUUUUCCUUAAGCUAAGAUAAUGUAUGUCAUUUAGUACUACGGUCUAGUGAUAUCCUUCUCUCAAAACAAAAUAAAUUAAUUUUUCUGUAUUUCUAAAUUAUUGAGUUUGAAGAGCUUUUGUAAGUAAUCUUAUAUUGAAUUUUACAUGUGAAAACAAAUAAUUUUUCUUAUAUGAAUUAAUUGGGACACAUUUUUUAUGAGUCACCUCAAACCUCAAAAAUCUUAGAACCCGCUUUGAUUCCAUAUGGGUCAGCUUAGACCCGGCAGUUUCUGACACGACACGAAAAUAAUGGGUUUCGGGUCAACACGAUAACUUAUCGGGUGACCCGUUAAGAACCCGUUAAUAACGGGUUCUUAACGGGUAUACACGCAGGUAACACGUGGGUAACCCGUUUCGACCCGUUAAGAAAAAUUUUAUUUUGAUAAUUUUAAAGUUUAAUUACUAAAAGAUUUAUUAUAAAAUACAAUAGCCAUAUUAAUAUAUACAAUAUAUUCUAUGACACACCCCGUCCCGAAGGAGGGCAUGCUGGCCGUCACGUGAGAGUGACGUAACCAUUUGCACAGUACGGAAGCUUUAAGAUACAAUUUAUAAGUUGAUACACCCGAAGGUGAGUCCUAAUUUUGUCCAAUCUGUCAGAACACCGUCGAAUUCCUCGUAGUCACCACACCUUUGUGAUUCCUGAACCUGGAGGGGCGCAAAACCAAAAUUGAGUGGGUCAGUAAAACAAUUCUUUUUCCAAAUCCAAACAUUUCUCAAAACGUUGUAACCCCUCUCCGUAAAACCUGUAUACUUUCCCAGAAAUGUAAAAUAUAAAUAUACAUAUAUAUUCUCAAGACUUCAAGUCGUUAACUCAACAUUUUCAUAACAAUUAUGCCAUGCCACAUCAUCUCAACAGUAAUAAGGUAUGAAUGCAUCAACAUAAUCAUAUCAGGUGCAAGAAAGUAAUCAACCGUAGGCCCUCUAAUAGCCCUGUACGGUUGAACCUAGAGCUCAAAAUCUAUCAUUAUCACUCUACCGGAGUCACCUCUGUGACCCGUCCGGCCUUCUGCACACAAGUUACGCUCUAGUGCUUCUCAUAAAUCAUCUGUGCACAUAAUCUAAGGUCACCCACCAGUCGGAAUCUCACUAACACUCUCGCGACUGGUCUGUCGUACCCACUCCGCGUGGACUGUACGACUAGCAUCUACUUGGAUCCAAGGCGAGCGUGCGAUGUGGUGAAUACUAUAAGCACUAAACCAUGGUGCAGGAUUUGAGCUCAAUAUAUAUCAUCAUCAUCAUAACAGUAAUUAAAUACUCAUCUGUGCGUCCACCGCACCAUUUCAUACAUAUGCAUCAUAAAUCAAUUCUUACCUGUGCGUCCACCGCACCAAUUCAUACAUAUGCAUCAUAAAUCAAUUCUUACCUGUGCGUCCACCGCACCAAUUCAUACAUAUGCAUCAUAAAUCAAUUCUUACAUGUGCGUCCACCGCACCAAUUCAUACAUAUGCAUCAUAUAUUAAUUCAUGCAUGGCAUUUCAACUCACAUUUCUAUAUACUUUUCAUAUCAAUUCUAUGCAUGGUAUUUCACUUCCCGUUUUUCCACAUAACUCAUAUGCAUUUCAUUUUAAACAUAUUUUCAUUUCAAUUCAAUUUCUGGGAAACGUCAAGUAUAUAUAUAUACGGAAAACAAAACUGCCCACUCACCUGGAGUUCGUCCAACAACUCCCUAGCACCACACAUCAAGGCGUCAUGACGAUCGCCGCCUAGAAUAGUAAUAGUAAUCAAAUCCAGGCUCAGAAUUCAUAUCGAUAGAAUACAUAACUUAUAUAAAAUACGUCACUACGUUGAUCGAUCCGGAAGAUCUGCCACUCAGAUUUUAAAUCCAUAACUUCCAGAGGUCCACAUUAUACCUCUAGGACAACAUCCUAAAAUUUCAUUACCAUCCAACGGUCGGAUCUCCGUCAAUUUCCAAAACUAAGUGACGGUUAACAUUUUAUAUUAUGGACUUACAAUUCCAAUUCCGGAAGAUCCGUAACUCGGAUUCCCAAUCCGUAAGUUCCAAUAAUCCUCAAAUAUUACGUAUUACAACGUAUCAAAUUUUGGUGACGAUCCAACGGUCGGAUCAUCAAUUCACAUUUUCACCUAAAUGUGAAAACUAUAAAACGUUAUUUGAACACCUAACCAACAAUCCUCAAUAACUUUCUCAUACGGUGUUCAAUUUAGGUAUAUGAAUAUACCACAGUGAUCUACUCGACGUCACGGACGUCGACAUAUUUUUAAAAUAAUUUUAUUUUUAUUUUUUAUUUUUACUGUAGCACCUUCUUCUUCCUUGGGUCGCCGGACUGGUUUUUCCGGCGGCCGUUUUCCGGGCAGUUUUUCAAAUUGCCAUAACUUUGUCAUUUCUCAACGAAAUCAAGUGAUUCAAAAACGAAAGUUGUAGCCCUUGAAGAGAAAAAGAGAAUGGUACCUUGCACAACACCUAGUUCGCCGUGGUUUGGCCGGAAACUUCCUCGAAAGCCUCGGAGGUCGCCGGAAACUGGGUAUUUUUCAAAUGAGUAUAACUUCUUCAAUACUCAACGAAAUUGAGUGAAACAAAAAGGAAAGUUGUAGUACUUGACGAGACGAAGAGAUUGAUACCUACCUCGACUCCUAACUCGCCGGGUAUUCGCCGGAAAACGCCUCGAAAGCUCCGGCCAAACUUUGAACUUGUCGAUCUCCGUGUUCUUACGUCCAAAAACUUCCAACGAAGCACUCCGAGCUUCCUUGGGACCUUACUAAACUCGCUGUGAUCUUGUUUUAGCCUAAAACGUAACCAAUUCAAAGCUCAUGAACAGUGUCAUCUCACGGCAACUUUAGAACUAGGGUUUUCGAAGUGAAACUCACCUGAAAUUGGUAUCCCCGUGCUCGUGAAGUCCCCAGGAUCACGAUGGUGGUCUUAAAUGGAACGUUGGUACAAGAUUGUGGUGGUUCUUGGUGGUUGCCGUGAGUUCGAGAGUAAGAGAGAGAAUGAGAGAGUUUCAGAAAAGAAUAAGAGAGAGAGAGAGUCUGGAAUGAAAGAAGAAGAGAGAAGAAAGGUUACGGGUUUUAGGGAGGGAAUUCAGGGUAGGAGGCCCUACCUAAGUCCAAGCACAAAUUAACACAUACAAAUAUAAAUCUAACCCUAGUUUAGGAUCUUAAAGUAAAACAAAUGUCAUACAUUUACACACCUUAAUCCCGUUUAAGGUCACAUUGGUCAUCUCACGUCCUCGGAAUUAAUAAUUCCGGGACGGGCUGUGACAAUCUCCCCUCCUUAUAGAAUUUCGUCCCCGAAAUUCCAAUCACCAACCAGAACAUCAAAACUCAUAAAAUAGUCUCGGAUACAUAACUCUCAUCCGUUCUUCUGUCUCCCAUGUAAUUUUCUACUGAAUGAUUUCCUUCACAAAGCUUUUACUACUUACUCUGUCUUAAUUCUUAGGACCUUCUUUUUCCAAUCCAAAGUCGACAUUAGUUCCUCACCAAUCAGAUCCGGCUUAAUUCUCAAUAGUUGCACCAAAGUCCCAUGUAACGACUCUGCCACUUAGUGACAACGCAUCGAACACAAAAUACAUUAUGUGCCUUAGCCAAUUCUGAAGGCAUCACAAACUUGUAUGCAAGUUUAUUGAUUCCUUUAGUGAAAAAAAAAAAUGGUCUGAUGUGUCUAAAUCUUAUCUUGUCUCUUUUCCAAUUCUCGUCAUUUCUGUUCGCGGUGAAUUUUCCAAAAAUAUCAAACCAUUUACCUUACACACUCGAUUAGUGGCAUAUCCAUCUGUUGAUCUCUUUUUGCCAUUCCUGGUUACUUCAGGUUAACUUAAUCACCUGAAUACUUUGAGGAGACUCAUCCAUAGUCUCAGGGUCUACUAAAACUCUUUCUUGAUCGAAUCUUUCUCUACCCAGAAACAUUCCAUUCACAAGUCAUCAAAAACCGACUCACGUGACACAUUUCAUGGUCCUUAUGGCGUUACUUCGGAAACUGCACAACCAACAUACUUAAGAAACUUAGCAGUUCCGUAAUCCAAUUCUCUUUUCCAUAAAACAAAUUAGUAAUGUUGCACUGUCUGGGAAAGGUUGUUACUCAACACUGGAGUAAAUGUACUAACUUGUUACUUAACAAGUAUAACUUCUUCUCGAUCUUCCAUUCUUAACUUUACUUUAGUUGGUUUCCAAUCCACAAGAAGAUAAUCUUGGCAAACGUGCCAGACAUUAAUCUUACUGUAGUCUUCUCGCCAAGUGCUUGAGCUAGAACAAACUUUACGAUCACCCUGAUCGUACAAUCAUGUUCAUUAAACAAUACAAUUCACUUUCGCUGCCUCAUAUCAAAUUCCUUCCAAGUAAUGGAUAUUGAAGACUUUUUGGAUUCGUAAAAAAAAAUCUUGCAUUCCCACUAAAAUAUAAUGUCUCCAUAACUUCACAGCACGAAUGGUAAUCGUGACUUCCAAAUCACCAGUAGGGUAAUUCAUCUUAUGAGAUUCCAUUUAUCGUGAAACGUAUGCAAUCACCCUAACAUUUGCAUCAACAUGCAUCCAAUACCAUUCAAGAAACAUCACUAAAAAUUUAUGAUUACCAUUAUUCUCUGGGAUUACCAAAAUACGUGCAUGAGUGAGGAAAUACUUCAGUUGUUGAAUCCUUUGCUUACAAUUCCUUCCCACUCAUACCUAACCUCUUUUCUCAACAGUCUCGUCAAUGACAAAGCAAUGACUGAAAAAUCUUUCACAACCAUCCAAGAUAGCCUGGUAAGCUAAGAAAUUCCAAAUCUCAAUUACGACUCGUGGUUGUUCCAAAUUUUAAUUUCUGUUACCUUUUAAGGAUUCACUUGAAUACCUUAAGAAUAUAUAACAUAUCCCAGAAAUGCUGCUUGAUUCAUCCAACAUUCGCAUUUGCUAAACUUAGCAUACAACCAACGUUCUCUUAAUCUUUGCUUCACCGACUUAAUACGUUUACAUGCUCUGCUCUAGGCUUAGAGUAUACCAGAAUAUCUUCAAUGAAAAUGAUAUCUAUUUAUCAAGGCAUUAUUGGAAUACUUCAUCCAAUAACUCAUAAAACAGCAUGAGUAUCCAUAUAGCAUCACCAAACUUCAUAAAGACUAUAACGAGUCCAGAAAACCAUCUUAUGAUCAAUGUCACUUAUAAUAUUCAAUUGGUAGUAACCAGAUCUCAAUUCAAUCUUUGAAUCUUCGCAAUUACUUCUGAGCUGGUUAAAUAAACAUCAGUACAUCACCAUGGAUAACGGUUCUCAAUCGUUACCCGACUCCAUUGUCUAUAAUCAAUGAACAGUCUCAAGAUCCAUUUUCUUCCUCACCAACAAACUGGGGCUCCUCAAAAGUGUUGUACUAGGUUGAAUAAAACUUUUAUCAACCAAUUCCCUCAACUGAAUUUCCAAUUCCCUUAACUCAUCAUGAACCAAUCUCCAAUAUAAAUUUAUACCUGGCAACAAAUCAAUAGUGAACCUCAUAUCUCUGCCUGAAGGCAAUCCAGGUAUACUUUCAGGGAAGACAUCAAGAAAAGUCUAACUCUUUCGACAUUAUUCACACUACUCCAAACAACAUCAUUUAGCACCACAUGAGCUAAGUAUUUUUGACAGCCUUUCGAAAACAAUCUCUUUGCUCUCACAACAUAAAUAAUGGCUGAACUCAAUCCAUUUUGCAUACUUACAAAAGUAAUCUCUGUUCAUCCAGAUCGAUGGAAAGUACUGGUUUCCCAUAACAUUUCGUCUUGUCACAAUUAUAACCAACCAAUCUAAUGGAAAUAAUUUAACCGACACAAUACAUACUCUAUUACUACUAAGCAUUCUGAAUAAGUACAAAAUAAUCUACCGGUUUACUUACUUAACGAAUCCACGAAUGAGUUAUUAAUAUUACGGUCUGCAGCCCGCAAUACUGAUAAAUCAUCGUUGUCUCGAUAAGUAGGCAACCACUCUCAAAGAUAUAACAUUACUAUUUUGUCACUCAAUGCAAAAUACAUACACUCAUCUCAACUACAUUUAUUUACUACUCUCAAGGUAAUAACAUACAUAAUAAGAAAUAUAUCAGCCGAAGUCAACUAGAAUGAUCAAUACGACUGAUUCAACUCUUAUCUCAAUAAUACGUCGGCCGGAUCCACUCCGCGUGGUCGGUACGGCCGAGCCUAUAACUCACAAAUUUCGCAUGUGUCAAUCGAAUCCACUUCUCGUGGCCUGUACGGCUGAACAUAUAACUCAUCAAAUUUCUCUGUACUCACAGUCAAUCCGACCAAACUACUAAGUUUAUAACUCUUCUGAAUCGACACUAUGAUAUCAUGGAAAAUUAUUGAGUACAACUGAUUCUAGGGACGAUUCACAAUUCUGUGUCCCCUCUGUUCACAUAAACACAUUCAUUAAUUUCACACUUCCCAAAGUGUUAAUUUUUGUACCUGCAGCACAAGGUACAUUUCCUUUACUCGAGACACCUUGUCUCAAAUAUCUGGGAUUACCAGUAUAUCCAUCACUUUUAUUCUGACCAGCGACAUUAAAACCUCAGCUGGAAAAAUUAACUCUAGCUUCACUUCUUUCGAAGCUCUGAAUCUUUCUAUAUCCUUGAUAUGACGAAUCAUUAACUUUAUCGUCUUCUUUUAAUUCCUAUUCUUUUCUUAUUCUUCUUUAUUCUCGUUGCUCAUGUUCUCAGAGUCCUCAAGAUUCAACAACAUCUAGCAUACUCCUGAUAAGAACUACAAUGGAUAGUGGUCACCCAAAAUACCACUUCCCUUUUGUCACCCAGCUUAAAACAACAUAACACCUCCACCAAAUUAACAACAAUAUCUGGAUGGAACGAGGCUAGUCUGAAAACUUUCUAUAAUAUCCCUCGAUCAUCACCUUCCUUGUCUCAUAUUUGUAAAUUCUUGUUUACUACCAUCGAUAAAUGCCGGAGGGAUAAACUUUUCCUUUAAACAAGUCCUUAAACAAUUCUCAAUCGACUGAUUCCUCUGGUGACAACAAUUCAUACUCCUGUUUCCACCAGGAUACAAAUUCAUAACCAAAACCAGGUAGUCGUCUCGACCCCCUGUCAGAAGGAAAUUUCCUUUGACUUGCAUAAUCUGAAACAUCUUUUCCAAAUGGUUAAACCGUUACUUCGCUCUCUCAGGUUCAUCAUUUCAUAAGGUGAUUCAAGUUCAACUCAUUACCCAUCUUAAAAUGUCCCUUUAGACAAUAGACUGAAUCACCAUAGUAAUAGUUUCCCCCUAAACCGCUAAAUCAGGGAGACUAAGUUCCUCUAACUACGUGGCUUGCUACGAGGCGGUGUAGUUCUGACAGAAUUCACUAGAACUUCUCAAGAUGUCCAAGAUUGCAACCAUGCUCUGAUACCAACUGACACACCCCGUCCCGAAGGAGGGCAUGCUGGCCGUCACGUGAGAGUGACGUAACCAUUUGCACAGUACGGAAGCUUUAAGAUACAAUUUAUAAGUUGAUACACCCGAAGGUGAGUCCUAAUUUUGUCCAAUCUGUCAGAACACCGUCGAAUUCCUCGUAGUCACCACACCUUUGUGAUUCCUGAACCUGGAGGGGCGCAAAACCAAAAUUGAGUGGGUCAGUAAAACAAUUCUUUUUCCAAAUCCAAACAUUUCUCAAAACGUUGUAACCCCUCUCCGUAAAACCUGUAUACUUUCCCAGAAAUGUAAAAUAUAAAUAUACAUAUAUAUUCUCAAGACUUCAAGUCGUUAACUCAACAUUUUCAUAACAAUUAUGCCAUGCCACACAUCAUCUCAACAGUAAUAAGGUAUGAAUGCAUCAACAUAAUCAUAUCAGGUGCAAGAAAGUAAUCAACCGUAGGCCCUCUAAUAGCCCUGUACGGUUGAACCUAGAGCUCAAAAUCUAUCAUUAUCACUCUACCGGAGUCACCUCUGUGACCCGUCCGGCCUUCUGCACACAAGUUACGCUCUAGUGCUUCUCAUAAAUCAUCUGUGCACAUAAUCUAAGGUCACCC
rnacentral:lncRNA from 1 species